rnacentral:rRNA from 1 species
AAACCAACAGGGAUUGCCUUAGUAACGGCGAGUGAAGCGGCAAAAAGCUCAAAUUUGAAAUCGGCGCCUUUAGGUGUUCGAGUUGUAAUUUGGAGAAGCAACUUUUGUAUCAGCUCUGGCGGAAGUCUCUUGGAACAGUGCGCCAUAGAGGGUGAGAGCCCCGUUCCACUGGAGGACUGGUACAUUGCAAAGUGCUUUCAAAGAGUCGAGUUGUUUGGGAAUGCAGCUCUAAGUGGGUGGUAAAUUCCAUCUAAAGCUAAAUAUUGGCGAGAGACCGAUAGCGAACAAGUACAGUGAUGGAAAGAUGAAAAGCACUUUGAAAAGAGAGUGAAAAAGUACGUGAAAUUGCUGAAAGGGAAGGGCUUGAAAUCAGACUUGGCUUGUUGCCAUCAUCCAUCUCUUGGGGUGUGUACUGGUAGCUUGCUGGGCCAGCAUGGGUUUGAGGGAGUCAUAAUGUUCAAAGAUGUGGCUUGAUGCUUCGGUAUUCG